rnacentral:tRNA from 1 species
GGAAAUGUAUUUAAUUAUAAUUACUAAUUUGCAAUUAGUAGGUGUCUACUAUUGACCAUUUUUA